UUGAACGCUGGCGGCAUGCUUUACACAUGCAAGUCGAACGGUAACAGGCCUUCGGGUGCUGACGGGUGGCGAACGGGUGAGUAAUGCAUCGGAACGUACCCAGAGGUGGGGGAUAACGCAGCGAAAGCUGUGCUCAUACCGCAUGUGAUCUGAGGAUGACAGCGGGGGACCGAGCAGCAAUGUUUGGCCUCGCGCCUUUGGUGCGGCCGGUGUCGGAUUAGCUAGUUGGUGGGGUGAAGGCCUACCAAGGCGACGAUCCGUAGCUGGUCUGAGAUGACGACCAGCCACACUGCGACUGAGACACGGCCCAGACUCCUACGGGAGGCAGCAGUGGGGAAUUUUGGACAAUGGGCGCAAGCCUGAUCCAGCAAUGCCGCGUGCGGGAAGAAGGCCUUCGGGUUGUAAACCGCUUUUGGCAGGAACGAAACGGUGUCCGCUAAUACCGGGCGCUAAUGACGGUACCUGCAGAAUAAGCACCGGCUAACUACGUG
rnacentral:rRNA from 1 species